GAUGAACGCUAGCGGCAGGCUUAACACAUGCAAGUCGAGGGGCAGCGCGUUGUAGCAAUACAAUGGCGGCGACCGGCGGAAGGGUGCGUAACGCGUGAGCAACUUGCCCGUCACAGGGGGAUAACCGGUGGAAACGCCGACUAACACCCCGUAACACAUUUCGCUGCAUGGCGAGAUGUUGAAAACUCCGGUGGUGACGGAUAGGCUCGCGUGCCAUUAGCUAGUCGGCGGGGCAACGGCCCACCGAGGCGACGAUGGCUAGGGGUUCUGAGAGGAAGGCCCCCCANACUGGGACUGAGACACGGCCCAGACUCCUACGGGAGGCAGCAGUGAGGAAUAUUGGACAAUGGAGGCAACUCUGAUCCAGCCAUGCCGCGUGAAGGACUAAGGCCCUAUGGGCUGUAAACUUCUUAGACGCAGAGCAAUAAGGGCCACGUGUGGUCUGAUGAGAGUAUGCGUAGAAU
rnacentral:rRNA from 1 species